GGGGUUUUAGCUCAGCUGGGAGAGCGCCUGUUUUGCACGCAGGAGGUCAGCGGUUCGAUCCCGCUAAGCUCCACCA
rnacentral:tRNA from 1 species